AUUGAACGCUGGCGGCAUGAUUUACACAUGCAAGUCGAACGGUAACAGGCCGCAAGGUGCUGACGAGUGGCGAACGGGUGAGUAAUGCAUCGGAACGUGCCCAGUCGUGGGGGAUAACUACUCGAAAGAGUAGCUAAUACCGCAUACGAUCUAUGGAUGAACGCGGGGGACCGUAAGGCCUCGCGCGAUUGGAGCGGCCGAUGUCAGAUUAGGUAGUUGGUGGGGUAAAGGCUCACCAAGCCAACGAUCUGUAGCUGGUCUGAGAGGACGACCAACCACACUGGGACUGAGACACGGCCCAGACUCCUACGGGAGGCAGCAGUGGGGAAUUUUGGACAAUGGGCGCAAGCCUGAUCCAGCAAUGCCGCGUGCAGGAAGAAGGCCUUCGGGUUGUAAACUGCUUUUGUACGGAACGAAACGGCUCUGGUUAAUACCCGGGGCUAAUGACGGUACCGGAAGAAUAAGCACCGGCUAACUACGUG
rnacentral:rRNA from 1 species